rnacentral:pre_miRNA from 14 species
CUCCAGAGAUGAGGGUGGUCUAUGAUCCCGGACAAGCCCCCAAAUGAAAGACCCCUGGAGCAGGGAGACCCUCCCUCAAGUCUCGGGAUGACACGACCCCCGAAGAACUCAUGAGAAA